rnacentral:rRNA from 1 species
UACGAGGACUCCAAGCGUUAUCCGGAAUAACUGGGCGUAAAGCGUGAGCAUCCGGUUUUGCUAGUCUCAUGUUAAAUCUCAUUGCUCAACGAUGAGACCGCGUGGGAAACGGCAAGACUAGAACAGGUAAGAGGCAAGCGGAACGUGCAGUGUAGGGGUGAAAUCCAUUGAUAUUGCACGGAACACCAAAAGCGAAAGCAGCUUGCUAGUGCUUUGUUGACGGUCAAUCACUAAAGCGUGGGGAUCAAAAAGG